AUCCGCGCGAUGGGCUCUGAGGCGGCGCAGCUGCUGGAGGCUGCCGACUUCGCGGCUCGCAAGCACCGGCAGCAGCGGCGGAAGGACCCCGAGGGGACCCCCUACAUCAACCACCCCAUCGGUGGGCGCGUCGGCCGCGGAGCGCCGGCUGCGGCACCUGGGUGGUGUGGCACGGAUCCUGACCCACGAGGCGGGAAUCACUGACAUUGUGGUGUUACAGGCGGCCCUGCUCCAUGACACGGUGGAGGACACAGACACCACCCUGGAUGAGGUGGAGCUACACUUUGGGGCACAAGUGCGGCGCCUGGUGGAGGAGGUAACAGAUGACAAGACUCUGCCCAAGCUGGAGAGAAAGAGGCUGCAGGUGGAGCAAGCGCCCCACAGUAGCCCCGGGGCCAAACUGGUGAAGCUGGCAGACAAGCUGUACAAUCUGAGGGACCUGAAUCGCUGCACCCCAGAGGGAUGGUCAGAACAUCGAGUCCAGGAAUACUUCGAGUGGGCAGCGCAGGUGGUGAAGGGGCUUCAGGGAACAAACCGGCAACUGGAAGAGGCUCUAAAGCAUCUGUUCAAGCAGCGGGGGCUGACAAUCUGAUCAGUGCUUGAAGCUAUCCAGAGGCACAACUCCAGCCUCGUUCAGGCCGGACAGGAUUCAUACGCCAUCUUUUCUGUGUCUCCUGAGCUCCCUCCAUCCUUCCCAGAUAUUAGAGGCCAAAAAAAGACUUGCAUUUUUUCUCAGUCUGAAGGUCUCCUGCUAACUAAGCUGAGCCCCGCGUGGUGGGAAUCAGAUGUACCCAUCCAUUUCUGAUGCACUCACCGCCUCUCCCCAAGUCUUGGGUCUGUUUGCUAUUUUGCAUGGUGGGAUCUCUGGCCCCUCAGGGACUUGAGAUUAUUUAAGUACUAGUUCCUAACACGUUCUGGAAAAUAAAAAUAACUCUGGGUUAAGGUUUAAGCUGCUGCUGCUCCUUCUCCAGCCUCCGACUGGUGGGCUGCAUAUCUUUCCUUCAGCAAAGCAGGACUAAUUGUGUGUCCCGGAGUCACCUCCCUCAGGUUGCGGGCCUCAACCCCUCCGAACCUGGCUUCCUUGUCAGUGACAUGGGUUGUGUAAUUAUCAGGUUAGACUGUGACGUGCCUGAUGGAGCCUGACACAUAGGUGCUCAAGAAAUGGUAGCAGCCUUUCCCGUUAAGAAAGUUGGAAGGGGGCCAGGCGCGGUGUCUCUCGCCUGUAAUCCCAGCACUCUGGGAGACCGAGGCGGGCGGAUCACUUGAGGUCAGGAGUUCAAGACCAGCCUGGCCAGCAUGGCGAGGCCCCGUCUCUACUAAAAAUACAAAAAAAAAUUAGCCGGGCGCAGUGGCUCGCGCCUGUAAUCCCAGCUACUCAGGAGGCUGAGGCAGGAGACUCGCUUGAACCCGGGAGGCGGAGUUUGUACUGAGCCGAGAUCGCGCCACUGCACUCCAGCUUGGGUGACACAGCGAGACUCCGUCUCAAAAAUGAAAAAAGAAAAGACGUAUCGGAAGGGAGUGCCGCCCGCUUACUGACAACCACUGCUGGGCACCGGAGAGACCCCAGCAGCAACAUGAUUGGGCCGGUGGGGGAUUCCGGUUCCCCAGUACCUCAAGCCGCGCGGGAAACUCGGUGACUCGCAAUCCCCUCGCCCUUCCGCAUUGCGGGUUACUUCGGUUGUUAAGUGACAGGGACUUCCGGGAAGGCCCGGAAGUGGCCCGGGGCUGUCCGACCCCGGGAGCCCGGCGGUCGGCGUAGGGGAGGCGGUGGAACUUUGCUCGGUGGCCAUGGGGAGGGAUUGCCCGGUGGUGGUUUUUCAGUCGUUGCUGAGCAGCUGAGGUUUAUUUUUAUGUAUUUUAUUCUGCAUCCAGUCAUCCAUUAAAGCCAAAGUUUAUUAA